rnacentral:rRNA from 1 species
GACGUAGGGCGCGAGCGUUGUCCGGAUUUAUUGGGCGUAAAGAGCUCGUAGGCGGCUUGUCGCGUCGACUGUGAAAACCCGCGGCUCAACCGCGGCCUGCAGUCGAUACGGGCAGGCUAGAGUUCGGUAGGGGAGACUGGAAUUCCUGGUGUAGCGGUGAAAUGCGCAGAUAUCAGGAGGAACACCAAUGGCGAAGGCAGCACUCUGGGACGGUACUGACGCUGAGACGCGAAAGCGUGGGGAGCAAACAGG